UUACGGUGGUGGAGGGAACCCUCGCCUCCGCCUUACACCAACUGUAUGUCUUUGAAUGUCUCCUUAUGUGAAUAACAUAAAAAAUACAACUUUCAGCAACGGAUCUCUUGGCUCUCGCAUCGAUGAAGAACGCAGCGAAAUGCGAUAAGUAAUGUGAAUUGCAGAAUUCAGUGAAUCAUCGAAUCUUUGAACGCACCUUGCGCCCCGUGGCCCACCACGGGGCAUGCCUGUUCGAGUGUCACGUUAACCCCUCGCCCCUUGCGAUGUCACAGUCGCUCGGGACGGAUUUGGACGCUGCCGUCGUUGGCUCGUCUCGAAAUGCAUUAGCUGGAGCGGUCCUUCCGUGUCGGCCUUGCGGUGUGAUAUGUAUCUACGCCCCAAAUCGACGCGGUCGGCAGCCUCUGCUCAGAGUCUCGCCCUCGCACGGCGAAAUUUCUACCAAGCUUUGACCUCGGAUCAGGUAGGACUACCCGCUGAACUUAA
rnacentral:rRNA from 1 species